rnacentral:lncRNA from 1 species
AUGCAUAUUCUUCAGCGAGUCAAUGAGCUUCUGCGGAACAAUGUCUUUAAAGGCACUUUUAGAGAGCGCAGAAAUAUUCCAUUUUUAAAUGGCCCUCGUGAUGUAAUUGUCAUCCAUCAAUCAGAGAAGGAAUUCUUGAAGAAAGCCAGGGUUGCCAUAAGAAUUUUAAAACCAUUAGAAAGGUAUAAAGACUCCUUCAUCGGAAUCACAGAAGAAGAAUGUGAAGACUCCGGUGAAUCUGAAAUUUUACUGUGGAUCCCACCCGCACACGAGCAGCCAUUUGGAGAUUAUUUAUUCUUUAUGCCAGGAAUUGUUGCAAACGAGGCGGAAGUCGGUGUUUCUGUGGUUUUUACCAGGAGACUAGAGGCUAAUGAACUUGGAAUUCCUGAUUACAACGAAGACGAACCACUUGCAGAAAUUUUGAAGAAAAGAAUCGCAGUGUUGUCCAAACAUUUCACUGAGUUCCUUCUAGAGGUUUUCACGUAUACAAAUUUUAAAUUAGCAGUACAGUUCUUGAGUGCUUUAUUGUUGACAAUUUGUGUUACUUUGGGAAAUUUCACCUACUGUUUUGGCGACUUUCUUCUCAAAUUCAUGCGUGAGGUAUCCAUUUUCACGGAAGCUGCAACUCCUAUCCUCUUUGGAUGCUUGCAUGUCAUUAAUAAUGCUGUGUAUGGUCUCUACACAUUGAUUUUAUGUCUUUUCAAAAGUAACUCGGCCCCAUUCAAAGCUCCGCCGCCUCCAGAUCAAAGUGCAACGCUUCGGUGGAAAAACGAGCGAAUGAAAGCAAUGCAGUAUAGGCGAUGAUGAUUUAACCUCAGGAUAAAGAAGAUUCAUUUGUAUCUUUCUGAUAAGAUGAGAAAUCCGUGUCUGUUGGUUGGUUUCAAAUCGGGUUCUCCGGUGAUGGCCAUCAAUGUAGAUUCGGAAUGAUUUUCCUCUGUAAUUAUCUCCACGAGGUGGUGGUAAAUUUCUAGCUGCUUUUCUUGGCUGUGUUAUUCUCGAAAAUAUUUUUCGAGAUCAAAAUUCUCCUCCACCAACCUUGAGAUUGGUCGUAUUUUUCUCCUGAAAUAUUAUUCAGCUCCUUGAAAAUGACUCUUCACACAAGUUACUAUACUCCAGAGUUUGUGCCCACUGAAUAUGUCUUCUAACUCAAGUCAGCUCUGAAAGAUGUAUCGCAGAAAUCAAAACUUCCAUUUUUCAACAACUUAGGUACCAGGUAAAUUUAACUACAAGCUUUCAAGAAAAUAAUAUCCAGAAACAUGAGAAUAAAAAAAGCGUUUUGAAUUGACAGAACUGCGCAGUAAAGCAGCAGAACGACCAAGCGUCCAAUUUAGAUGGCAACUUUGAGAAGAUCCUAUAUAUCAUCAAAAGUGAACAAAGCGCCAAUAAAUAAUUCUGUAAGGAUCCAGAUCAUUCAUUCCCCAAAACUUGUAUCUCCAUGAAAGUAGUCCUUGAAAUUCCAGUUCUAAUCAAGUAGAAAGAAUUCAUUUUUUUUAUUUAGUCACUCUACUCUGAGGACAUCGCAGCUUGAUUUGGAAGAAAUUUUAUCAUGCAUACAAUGGAGGAAAACAAUUUUUAAGUAGUAGAGUGAAUGAUUGAAAAAGGAUACCAAACUGAAGUGUUGAUGAAAUUUGUAGUUUGGGACAUUGAAUGAAGGGACUAGCUUAAAGUUUCAUUCUCAAAGGUAAUAUCAGGAACUGUAGAGUACAACAAAAGUGAAAAAGUUACACAAGGCUCAUAGAUUGAUAUGGAAAAAGACUUUGAUAUAAAUUCAGACUUAGCUAUUUUACUAAUGUGAUUAUCACAAGGCAUUUUACUGCGUGCCAUCCUGUUAUUGGUUGAAACUCCUCUUAUCAGAAUGUGAGUUCAACCGUUAACUUUUAUAAUGAUGCCUGCUAUAAGAGGUGAAAAUAGACAAAUUGUGAGAAAAAUACUGAAAUCUGAAUUCCCCAAUUACAUUGUUGAAUUACAAGAGGGACAACCAUAAUGUGUGGCACACCCAAAAUGAAAAGAAAGGGAGGGAAAAAAACCAAUAUGAACAGGAAAUCAAAUAAAAUGAGAUUUCUCGGAAUAAGGUAUUCCAUUGAUAAGAGGAAUAUUAAUGGUGGAUAUCUCAAAAAAAAAAGAAAAAGGAAAUUCAAGGUAGGAAAAAAUUUUCAUACCGUUUUCUUCUUAAAAUAUAUGUAUUAUACUGAUCAAACUCUGUUUGAUUUUAAAAAAAGGAGCUGUAAGUGGUGUAAGUUCUAGGACCGAGUUUGAAAUUUUGAAUGGGCCGUCAAAUUUCUGAAUAUCCUUUUUUAAGGUCCUUAUGCUUCUAGUAUUAAAUUUCGCCAAAAUUCUUUACUUCAGAAAACUAUAUUAAUUGAAGAUACAGUAUAUGGAGGAUUAGUCCAUGUACAUCUUUGUAUUAAAAAAAUGAAUGGCUGAGUUUCUCGUGCAGUCAUUUUAUUUUGGUUUAUACAUGUAUAUUUUAAAUGGUGCUUCUUAACUAUGAAACAAUUUAUGAUUAACA